rnacentral:rRNA from 1 species
ACUCCUACGGGAGGCAGCAGUGGGGAAUAUUGGACAAUGGGCGAAAGCCUGAUCCAGCCAUGCCGCGUGUGUGAAGAAGGUCUUCGGAUUGUAAAGCACUUUAAGUUGGGAGGAAGGGCAGUAAGUUAAUACCUUGCUGUUUUGACGUUACCAACAGAAUAAGCACCGGCUAACUUCGUGCCAGCAGCCGCGGUAAUACGAAGGGUGCAAGCGUUAAUCGGAAUUACUGGGCGUAAAGCGCGCGUAGGUGGUUCAGCAAGUUGGAUGUGAAAUCCCCCGGGCUCAACCUGGGAACUGCAUCCAAAACUACUGAGCUAGAGUACGGUAGAGGGUGGUGGAAUUUCCUGUGUAGCGGUGAAAUGCGUAGAUAUAGGAAGGAACACCAGUGGCGAAGGCGACCACCUGGACUGAUACUGACACUGAGGUGCGAAAGCGUGGGAGCAAACAGGAUUAGAUACCCCUGGUAGACUGUCA